AACAUUCUAGAUCACAACAGAAACAUUAUGUGCAUUCGCUAUGUGGACAACGUAAACGUCUGUCAAGCCGUCGGAGCAUCUCUUAUAAACAAAACAAGUCCCUUAACACACAGUUAAUAACGGAAGUAGACUGGAAGAAGCAAAAAUCAUGACAGGUCGCAAGAAAAUGUGUUGUAGUUACAAAUUUACCUCGCUAGCAUCAUGUAAGGCACUCACAAAUCUGUGCUACUUCUGCGUCAGAACUUAUCCCGUAGCAGCUGACUGGAAUGAGUUGCACAUGCCCGUGAGUCGUCAAAAAACAAACAAUAAAAGAGGCUCUCCCUCUGAUGUCCUCCAACCCUACAGCCGCUGCACUGCUUACACCGCCCCCCUGCCCUGAGAUUGGCUCAGUCAACUCCCAACCAGAUUGUCACCAUCCAGCCUCACCUAGAAGUUGGGGUGCUCUACAAGUCAGUCUGUCACACCAACCAAGAUUUUGUUGGAAGUGGGCUGCUGUCACACUCUAGUUGAUAUUUUUUAUUAAUGACUAAAUGGCCAUUGGAACCUUAUAACAUUCUAUGGGUUAGUUUUUAUUCAUUGCAGCUGGCAAUCUCUCGCAGCAGAAGUCCUAGAUCUCAGCCCCAGGUAAAAAAAAAAAAAAAAGAAAAGAAAACUAUAAAGUCUUUUUUUUAAAUAAUUAAUCCUGUUUUUUGUUUCCACUGAACAUUUAUUGUAGUCUAAAAUUAAUUUAAAGCAUCUUGACAAAUCUGAAAUGAGUUGUAACAUACUUACAGUAGUGAAAUAAAUCAACAUGCUACGUGCUUUCUCUCCGACAUCACGCAAACUACUGACCCACUUUGCUGUAACUAUUUAUACUUUCUUAACAAUUCCGAACAAUCCUCGGCAUUGUUUAGAAACAUAUUUUGAUUUAUUAGCAAUUAAAACUUUCAUACUAAAACAAAUGAUAUAUUUCAGUGAUUACCUUGACUCUUCUGUGUAUCAAACACACGAGUGAAUUCUAAUCUCUAUAUAAAUGUAAGUGUGUAUAAAUGUUUAGGUAUCAAUUGUUUAACAUACUUUUUAUAUUUACUAAUUAUAGAAGAUUCGUAUCAUAUAAAAUGUUCCUACCAAU